UUACCCUAGGAGUCGAGAGUGCUGUUUAUUUAUUUUAAGUUAAAUUCUACAUUUCUGAUGCAAAUUAGUAAUCUUAAUAUUAAAUACUGUACUGGUUGAAAAAAAAAAUGUUGGUUUUUCUUUGACAAUUCUAGGGUAUCGCGAACUGGUAAUGGUAUUGUGACUGACUGUUGUCUCCUUCAUUGUGAUCGGUAUAGCUACUUAUGGGCAUGCAGUAAGCAUAAUUUCCAACCUAAGUAUUAUUGGAGCAGUUCUCUCCUGUGGAAUUUUUUUAUUUAUUCUUUCUUUUGUAGGACUUCUGGGAACCAUUAAGCAUCACCAAGCUCUUCUGUGUUUUUACAUGAUUGUUAUGGCUUUGGUAUGUUUUAUGCAAUUUGUAACGGCUUGUGUCUGCUUAGCAAUGAUUGACGAUCAACAUUAUGAUUUAGCACAGAGAGGAUGGAUGAGUUCAUCUCCUGAUAUGAAGGACAAAGCACAGCGUUACUUUAAUUGCUGUGGUUUUAAUAAUGCCACCAUGCAUGUGGGUACUAAUGACACCAUGGAUCACCCAACAUGCCAAGGGGUAUUAGAAUGUUGCCCGAAAGAAGAGUCUUGUGCUUGUCAACCAUGCUGGAAAAUAUUAAAGGAUACAGUAGGUUAUGGCCUUCGAUUAUUAGGUGGAGUUGGUUUAUUCUUCAGCUUUACCCUUGUGUGCAGCAUUUGGUUCACUCAGAAAUAUAGAAAUCAGAGAGACCCAAGAUAUAAUCCUUAUGUUUUUAUGUAGCUUGAAGUUCUUAAUUCAAGAUUCUUUCAAGUUUUGAUUGAAGUAAAUAAUAUACAUGAUUGUUAUAAAGUUUCUUUAAUUUGUGAUGCUUUGAUUAACUUGUUUGUUAAGUGAAAGUUGUUACUGUGAUUUUUUUCAUUAGUGCUUUCCAUUGAUUCCAUUAGAAUAAAAUAUAUGAGCUUUGUUUUUCACAAACUUUGAUAUUUUAAAAGAGAAAGAUUCCAGUUUAUUUUUCUAUGAAGUGCAUUUGAACAUAAUUUAUUUUAAUCAUUCUAUUAACUAAACUUAAUGUAUUUUAUUAGAAUAGUUUAGCCGAAAUAUUAACUAUGUGUGUGUUUGUAGAAAUAAUAGUCAUUUAGGAAUUGGAAAUAAUAGUUUUAGCAUUGUUUAAUUUAUUUAUUGCAUUGUGUGGUAUUGAUGGAUAAAUAAUUUUUUUUUUCCAUUUACAGGGUUGACCAAAAAUAGAUUCAUUUGUUGAGAAUUAGGCAUUUUAGCAUUUUUUACUCAGGUUUUUUUUACCAACAAAACUAUCAAUUUGAUACAUAGUCAUACCUCUGUUUAAAUCUCUGUGUCCAGAAUUAUUUGAAAUUGUGUAAUAGUGGUCAGGUAUUCACACAAAAUGUUCUUACUCUAAAGUAGUUUCAUCGUUUUUUGAUUUCGUACACUAACCUAUAUGUAGUAGAAAAAUCCUAUGAGAAGUUAGGAAGUUUUUUUUGUCCCCCGCCCCCCAGUGGCACAGCGGUAUGUCUGCGGACUUACAACGCUAGAAUCCGAGUUUUGAUACCCGUGGUGGGCAGAGCACAGAUAGCCCAUUGUGUAGCUUUGUGCUCAAUUACAAAACAAACUAAUUUUUUUUUAUCCCAACUUGUAUUCAUAGACAUAUGGUAUUUUACAUUAGUUUAUUAUACAGUGAAUAUUAAAUUCCUUAUUCACUUGUUGCCAAGAAAAUAUAAAUGUUGUUAUCUUUACUGUUUAUCAUGGAUGCAAUAGAGAUUUUGAAAUAAUUGCUACUGUGUGAGUUAAAGUAUUUAAUAUUGUCAAGAGACCAUUUCCACAGAAGACAAUAUGAAUGUCGAAGUGAUAAAAGGAGUUGAUGAUAUAACUAUUAUUUUAUCAUUAGUAAGAAAUAAUGAAACCUUCAUUUCUUUCUUAGAAAGUACUGAUAUAAAAAAAUGUUAAAAAUAAUGUAUUUUAUAAGUCAUUGAUUUUGUUAGUUGUUGUUUCAUGUUCAUAUUCCUGUACAUAAAUGUUAAUUAUUAUCUUUUAUUUGUGUCCUAGUGUGAGAUGUUGUACGAAAUAAUAAACCUUAUAACAGCGUGAAACA